rnacentral:tRNA from 1 species
AUGGAAUUAAGUUAUUGAGACUGUGCGUUUUCAAAACGUUUAGAGGUUUUACCAUUCUAUG